rnacentral:rRNA from 1 species
GACGCACGUUGGCGGCGUGCCUAAUACAUGCAAGUCGGACGCAGGUGCGAACGGGUGAGUAACGCGUAGGUAACUACCUAUUAGAGGGGGAUAACUAUUGGAAACGAUAGCUAAUACCGCAUAAUAGUAGAUGGACAUGCGUUGUAUUAGCUAGUAGGUAGGGUAAUGACCUACCUAGGCAACGAUACAUAGCCGACUUGAUAGGGUGAGCGGCCACCAUGGGACCGGGGAACGGCCCAGCGUCCUACGGGAGGCAGCAGGUGGGGAACGUCGGCAAGGGGGGGAACCCUGAACCAGCAAUGCAGCGUGAGUUGAGAAGGGGUUCGGAACGGAAAGGUCUGUUGAUAAGGACGCGGUAACUAACCAGAAAUGGACGGCUAACUACGUGCCAGGAGGCGCGGUAAUAC